UGGGGGGGGAAUUUUUGGGACAAUGGGGGAAACCCUGAUGCCAGCCAUCCCGCGUGUGUGAGAAGGCCUUCGGGUUGUAAAGUACUUUUGGCAGAGAAGAAAAGGUAUCACCUAAUACGGGAUACUGCUGACGGUAUCUGCACAAUAAGCACCGGCUAACUACCUGCCCGCAGCCGCGGUUAUACAUAGGGUGCAAGCGUUAAUCGGAAUUACUGGGCGUAAAGCGUGUGUAGGCGGUUCGGAAAGAAAGAUGUGAAAUCCCCGGGCUCAACCUUGGAACUGCAUUUUUAACUGCCGAGCUUUAGUAUGUCAGAGGGGGGUAGAAUUCCCCGUGUAGCAGUGAAAUGCGUAAAUAUGUGGAGGAAUACCGAUGGCGAAAGCAGCCCCCUGGGAUAAUACUGACCCUCAAACCCCAAAUUGUGGGGAGCAAACAGGAUUAAAUACCCCUGUAUU
rnacentral:rRNA from 1 species